rnacentral:rRNA from 1 species
GUAAGCGCGCGCAGGCGGCUAUUUAAGUUGGAUGUGAAAGCCUACGGAACAACCGUAGAACUGCAUCCAAAACUAUUUAGCUAGAGUGUGGGAGAGGAAGAUGGAAUUAGUUGUGUAGGGGUAAAAUCCGUAGAGAUAACUAGGAAUACCAAAAGCGAAGGCAAUCUUCUGGAACACUACUGACGCUGAGGCGCGAAAGCGUGGGGAGCAAACAGGAUUAGAUACCCUGGUAGUCCACGCAGUAAACGAUGAAUGUUAGUCGUCGGGUAGCUAGUCUAUUCGGUGAUGCAGCUAACGCAUUAAACAUUCCGCCUGGGGAGUACGGUCGCAAGAUUAAAACUCAAAGGAAUAGACGGGGACCCGCACAAGUGGUGGAGCAUGUGGUUUAAUUCGAAGAUACGCGAAGAACCUUACCUAGCCUUGACAUAUAUUAGAACUCCGCAGAGAUGCAGAGGUGCCUUCGGGAGCUUUUAUACAGGUGCUGCACGGCUGUCGUCAGCUCGUGUCGUGAGAUGUUGGGUUAAGUCCCGCAACGAGCGCAACCCUCGUCCUUAGUUGCCAGCAGGUUAAGCUGGGCACUCUAAGGAGACUGCCUUCGUAAGGAGGAGGAAGGUGAGGACGACGUCAAGUCAUCAUGGCCCUUACGGCUAGGGCAACACACGUGCUACAAUGGUUGGGACAAUGAGACGCAAUACCGCGAGGUGGAGCAAAUCUAUAAACCCAAUCUCAGUUCGGAUUGUUCUCUGCAACUCGAGAACAUGAAGCUGGAAUCACUAGUAAUCGUAGAUCAGCUAUGCUACGGUGAAUACGUU